CGAAGAUGAGCCGAUAAGCGAGGGAAACAAAGGGGAAGUCGCCAAGUGGUGUUGGACUCUUUUGAGACACCAUGGACUAUAGCCCGUCAAGCUCCUCUGUCCAUGGGAUUUCCCAGCAAGGAGAUCAAACCAGUCCAUCCUAAAGGAAAUCAGUCCUGAAUCUUCAUUGGAAGCACAGAUGCUGAAGCUGAAGCUCCAAUACUUUGGUCACUUGAUGCAAAGAACUGACUCUUUGGAAAAGACCCUGAUGCUGGGAAAGAUUGAGGCAGGAGGAGAAGGGGACAACAAAGAGUUGGACACAACUGUGCGAUUGAACUGAACUGAGUUGCUAAGUCGUGUCCAGCUUUUUGCAACCCCAUGGACUGCAGCAUGCCAAGCUUUCCUGUCCUUCACUGUCU
ensembl:lncRNA